rnacentral:rRNA from 1 species
CAGUCGCCGCGGGAAUACGAAGGGGGCUAGCGUUGCUCGGAAUCACUGGGCGUAAAGGGUGCGUAGGCGGGUCUUUAAGUCAGGGGUGAAAUCUUGGAGCUCAACUCCAGAACUGCCUUUGAUACUGAAGAUCUUGAGUAUGGGAGAGGUGAGUGGAACUGCGAGUGUAGAGGUGAAAUUCGUAGAUAUUCGCAAGAACACCAGUGGCGAAGGCGGCUCACUGGCCCAUAACUGACGCUGAGGCACGAAAGCGUGGGGAGCAAACAGGAUUAGAUACCCGCGUAGUCCCUGUCUCUUAUAC